GUGAGGAAUAUUGGUCAAUGGACGAGAGUCUGAACCAGCCAAGUCGCGUGAAGGAAGACGGUUCUAUGAAUUGUAAACUUCUUUUGCAGGGGAAUAAAGUGCGGGACGUGUCCUGUUUUGUAUGUACCCUGAGAAUAAGGAUCGGCUAACUCCGUGCCAGCAGCCGCUGUAAUACGGAGGAUCCGAGCGUUAUCCGGAUUUAUUGGGUUUAAAGGGUGCGUAGGUGGUUUGAUAAGUCAGCGGUGAAAGUUUGCAGCUUAACUGUAAAAAUGCCGUUGAAACUGUCGGACUUGAGUGUAAAUGAGGUAGGCGGAAUGCGUGGUGUAGCGGUGAAAUGCAUAGAUAUCACGCAGAACUCCGAUUGCGAAGGCAGCUUACUAAGCUACAACUGACACUGAAGCACGAAAGCGUGGGGAUCAAACAGGAUUAGAAACCCCUGUAGUCC
rnacentral:rRNA from 1 species